AUAAAAAACAAAUCCACUUAUCAUUCGAGCCAAACCCAAGAACAGGCAAGUAUUUGCUUGAAGCCUUCAACACGGUACCCGCCCCAGAGCCACUACACUCUUUACAACACCACCGGAAUUACCAAAACCGAAACCAAAACAAAAAACAAAGCCUUUAUAUGGUCAGACUUCUGUCAAACUACCGUUGUAAUAACCGUUCGGAAUCGCCACUCGAAACCCUUAUUUCCCAAUGUAACCCUAAACCCCGCAAAUUCUAUACGAACCCCACUUCCACCGUCACCGCUCGUCUAUUUUUCCACAACCAGAGUGAUGCUUCAACCGCCGUAGUGUCACUAUGGGCGGGGACCAUGUCUAUACUCCAGUGACAGAUUUUGGUUUAAAUGAAGGGGAGUUGAAUGAGAAGAUUAGAGUCUGUUUAAGCUGUAUGUAGAGAAGGUGUUAGAAGGGGAGGUAGUUAAGAAAUUGUAGAGAAAGAUUGAAGCUUUGGCUGUGGAAAUUAAUAAAUUUGCGAGCUUUUCGAGGAGGCCGAGAGGGGUUAUGGUUUAUAAUGAGAAUAAGAUGAAGAAGGAGGCGUUAAGGGUGGAAAUGGAGGGGGUUGUGAAGAGGUUAGAGGAGUUUAGGAAGGGAAUGAGGUGUUUGAUGGAUUGUAUUGAAGUGAAGGGGAUUGGUGACUUGGGGGUUAUGAGGGUUUAUGAUGAGUGUAAUGGGAGAAAGAUGGGAAUUUUUUUUUAUUAUUGGAGUAGGAUUCAAUUUUUAUCAAGAGAGUGUAGAAGGGUCGAAAAUGGGUUGCCUAUUUACGGGUUUAGGAGUGAGAUUUUGAAGAUGUUGCAUUCACAGCAGGUGUCCGCUGCAAUUUAGAAAGGAAUGAGAAUGGUUCUUAGAGUGCAGAUACCUGCUAAUGCAACAAAGACUGUAGCAGAGUUGAAAGGCUCCUGGAGCAGCUGAUGAAUGGAAAGACAGUAAAUCAUGGUAGCCUAACCCCAAUUGUUCUGCAGCUUCUUUCCUCCAGAGAUGGCAUCAUGCUCAUGAAGUCAGUGCAGCAACAAAUGGGAACUUGCAUUCUAUUUGAUAGGCAGAACCUCACCAUCAGGAUCUUUGGCCCAGAGAACCAAGCUGCCCUUACGGAACAGAAGUUAGUAGCAUCUCUUCUAGCAUUCCGUGAUAAGCAGCAAACAGAUAUCCGUCUUUGAGGUGGAGCCAUGCCGAAUGAUCUUGUGAAGAAGGUGGUGGAGAAGUUUGGUCCUGAAUUGCUUGGGCUCAAAGAGAAGCUCCCUGAGGCUGAACUUAUGCUUAAUACAAGUUGACAUGUUAUCUCUUUUACUGGAAAAAAGGAUCUGAGACUUAGAGUGGAGGAGAUGAUUCAUAACUAUGCACGGUCUGUCAGUGUUAAUAGAUCUGUCAAACGAUAUGAAGGUGAUAACAUUGCCUGCCCUAUUUGCCUGUAUGAGUUUGAGGACUGUUACCAGCUUCAGGCUUGUGAGCACAAAUUCUGCCAGUCAUGCUUGGUUGGAAACUGGGCAGAAACUUGUCUUUUGUUUUUUAGACCAAAAAACCUAUUUUCAAUUGAAAACACCUGAAAAACAACAUACACAAUUCAACAAACCCACUUGUGUCAGUCAAAAAACAAAAAAUCAAUCCGAGACCCUAAAUUUUCCCAAGCCUCGAUUUAAGACUUGAUUUACUCUUCUGGCAAUUUAAAUGCCAAUAACCACCACCAUUUGAUCAUUUUUGUGGCUAGAAUCAUGAUAACUAAUUAUUUUCCUUCUCCAUUGUUGUUUUCAGGUAGGUCUUUCUUAUUGAGGGAUCUAAAAAAAAAAAAAAACUUCAACAAAAA